UUAUUGGCUGGGCUGGAGAAAGCAAACAGCGCACCCUUGGAAGGAAUUCUCCCCUUGUUUUGGCUGCCGAUCCAGGCCUGGCUUUUCUGGCUGCGAGGGAGCGACUGGAAAGCAGGUUCUCAGAGCAAUCACUCUGUGCUGUCAUCCGUCCAUCUCUCUGUUUGUCCUGUAUCCAGUACCCUGGCAAAUAUUGCUCUGGGAUAGUGAGGGAGAGGGCGGCCUGGUUCCCAGCUGCUGCGGAGGCCUGGAGUUUUGUUAUCCCAGCUGAUCUGGUACAUCUUUGCGGGGAGUUAGAGCUGGCUGGACCUCUUGGAAAGGAGCAGAACUCUAUCUGCUGGCCGAGCCCCAGGGGGAAGGGGCUGGAGGCUACUCCCCCAAAGGAAUCUUGGACCAGUUGUACCAUCUCAGUUUGCCAGGACACAGAAGGGCUGAUUUUCCACGUCCUGCUCAGAUGGAUUCUGGCUGUUGACUUAUUUAGCUCCCAGAAUUGCCGGAGAGGGAGGGCAGAUGGUCUGAUGGUUAUAGAACUUAACUGCGAAUGGAGCUCUGCCCCUUUUCUAGCCCUGCCUCUGUACAUCAUGGAACCUCACCGGGUCUCAGUUUGCUCCACGGUGGAAAGGACCCUCCUGGGGACGUUGUGAGCCUAAAUUCGUUCAUCUUUUCCAGGUGCUUUGAGAUCCUCCGAAGGAAGGUGCUGCAGAAGUGCACAGUGCUAGUGUUAUCCAGGGAUGCUGUCGGGGCUUUCUGAAGAAAGUAACAUUUUUGGCUUAAACGGGUCGACAGUGUCCCUGUCCCUUGGAGCCACUCAACUCAUGCUAACUUUCCCAGUCACACCCCACAAUGUGCGAUUGCUGCCUAAAGGCACGUCUGGUCUGGAGGGCUACAACUGCAACCCAGCGGGGAAAACAUUAGCUCAGGGUUAUGGCUCUUUUCUCCCGUCCCUACUUUCUGAGGGAUAAACCUUGCAGGUGUCAGGGUAUUCCAGGCACAUGGCUGGGUAUGGAGGAGAUCUCUCAAAGCUUUGAGCUGAAAGCCUGGAGGGUUGGUUCCUUUUUUUUUUUUUAAUCCUUGGCUAUUUGCAGCUAUGGGUGCUCCGGACUCAGUGAACGACCCAGCUUGGAUGGCAUAGCCCUACAGAACGCUGCCCGUCCUGAGAGACCCCAGCUGGGGCAGCCAGCGCGUGUGCAGAACAUUUCAGGGCAGCUUUGUGUAGUCGAAAGGAAGGGAGCUCCAGCAGCUUUCUCUCCUGACUAACUGUGGGUGAUGUAAUGGCUGACCCAGGCCAACGGAGUCCCCAGCUACCACUCAACGACUCAGAUAUUUUUGGCCGACACACGCGUCCCUGUUUAUUUUUAUAACAGUGCUCUGUGAAUUUGAGGGCUCAGGAAGGUGAGGGGCUUAGAGCUGCGACCAGGUAGGUUCUGUGCAAGCUUCGCCCACACAUGCAGCUUUACCAGGGCACCUCUGUCCUGACCUGCGUGUCUCUUGCCUUCCCGGGCAGUGAGUGUCCAUCAUGUUGCUCUCUGCUGUGGUUUGGAUUAGGCUGAGACUGGGACUAGUUUAAUUUGUGACCGAAACUAGUUCGGGACCCUGGUCUGGAAGGAAGGUUUGCUUGUAUUUAUUUAGCAAACACGUGCUCACAUUUAUGUUCAGAUCUGCUCACAUGGGCAUCUGUCCAUGUUAUCAUGAAAAUGAUAGCAAGUAUACGAUGUGUGUGCCUAUGGUGGGGAGGUGCUAUGUAUUUACUUUAGGAUUAUCUAGAUCUUAUCCUGCUGCUAGAUAUAGCACAGCAUGUAUCAGCCCUAAAAAUUUAAGCAUGAUCUUUAAUAUAGCUACCGCCUAGCUUUAUUCCCAUGGGACAUCUAUUGCUGGUCCACUCUGCAGCUGUCCAGGUAGCACAGAAGUGAUUACGCUGUAAAUUUCCUUUAGUUCUGUCAAUCUUGCAUAGAUAAUCUAAGCACUAAUUGAAUGAGCCCUUACUGGUAAAUAGUGUCAGUGAUUUCCUACUUCCUACCAGUUCUUUGCACACCCGUCCUCUCUGUGGAGAAUACACACAGCACUAGACAAAGCGAUAGCAUCACUUUUUUGUCUUACUUCCAUCUCAACCAAUCCAACCGUCAUGUUUGGUAGGGGCCAGAAUUUGACCUUCCAUGUUUUUUCCCCCUUGCGUUGAUUGGUAAAGUCCAUGGCCAAGAUUUUCAAGAGAGGUGAGUGACUUUGACUCCCGCAUACCUUUGCCCUGAAAAUCAGGUCCCUUGACAGUCUUGAGGUAGGCAUCCAAAAUAGAAAGACAGACAGAAUCACUGAUCUCGUGAGAAGAACUUGGCUUAGGUCACUCUCAAUUAAAACAUUUCACAUCAAAGUCUUCAUUGUUCUCUUGUUCUAAAAAUAAUUUAUAAAGGGCAGGGGGAGGGGGAACCCAACCACUAAAACCAACAAGAUGUAUUGCCAGCCAUCCAGCCUGCCCCUCAAAAUAAGCCCUCCAAUGACAAACCAGCACAAGGCCAACAACAUGUCCACAAGAAAAUAGAAUUCACAGGGACUCUUCAACUCUGGUGUGUGUGUGUGUGUGUGGUGGUGGCAGGGUUCAUGAAACCCAUGUGUGUUUUUUGUGGGGUGAGAGAGAACUAGUUUAAUCCCACAGUGUCGGCUGGUCCCUGCUCUAGAUAAAGGAUGUGGCAGAAUUGACUCAGAAUAGCACGGGCAAGAGGGCUUUGCAAAAGAAAGAAAUGCAGAAAAUCCCGACUCCCAAGGAGGAAGAACGGGCGGGUGGAGGAGGGGCUUUAGAAUAAAUUGCUUACAUUAGAAAUUAAUUAAUUCUCUUAACUGGGUUUAUCCUUGUUCCUUCAUAGAGUCCUAACAAAUGUCAACAUUAAUAUCGCUCUGGAGAUAACACUCUGGUGAUCACGGUACUCUACUAAUAGAGCUGAGACGUCAUGAACCCCUGGGGAGCAGUAGUACUAAUGGAGAUCAUUAAUAUUUUGUGACAUCGGGUUACCAAGAACUGAUUCCAAAUCUACGGCAAAUAACCUUUGAAUAACAAAGAGCAGCACAACUUUCCAACGCCCAAGAGGCCGGGGAAGCCCACGUUAGACAUUCAUGCGUUCAGAACGCCCAAAUCACACAGGGAAGGGGACUGAUCCUGGCACGUGCCGAGCACUCGGGCUCUGGUUCAACAAAAUACUUUAAGCAGGUGAGGAGACCCGUUGACUCAUGGCACUGCGAUUAGGGCCCAGCCAAAGGUGCGACCCACAGUCUGGGCUCUUUAAAAUGCUACCUGUUCUGUAGGGAAACGGUUUCUUUGAUCCAGGAAUGUAGUGUUAUUCAAUGAGAUUCAUCGUGCAGCGGGAAUGUUAAGGUGCAAGGUUUGUGACUGCAGUUCAUGGGGGAAUUAGCUUUCAAGUGGCACUUGGCACGACCUUCCACUCUUAGAAGUUGACCGGGGUGCUCAGCUUUGACCUCCCAAGGAGGAUGACAAGAAACAGACAGUGUCAGCUCGUUUAGUGUCACGGUUUCAAAUAAUUAUCUUUUAUUACGAGAGACUCGUCAGAUUGCUCACACUGUGGCAAGAAUUUAAUAAUAAAAGGCACCGGGGAACAUUCAGACGUAAAAAGUUCUCAGCCUGCGAGAUCUAACCAUCUCCUGUGAGUCUGUACGAGACCCGCUCCAUAAAAACCCCAACUAAAACAAAACAAAACUGAAACACCACAACAGCUUCCAAAAAAAAGCAAACACGUGCUUGUCUAUGUCACGCGCAUCUUUCUGAGCAGGGGCGUCACCUCCACAUCGAACAGAACGUCCCUGGUGGAGCAGGGCUGGAAUUUAAGAGUGCCAGAGGCAGUGAUGGGAAGUGACAUGGGGAGACGUGUAAUGUCGCGAAAGCCACGGAAAGCAUUGUCUUGGUAACAGCAAGAUCAAAUAAAAAUACCACCACCAAACACGUCAGCACCAAAAGCUAACUUUAAAGCAUGGAAAACACAAGAACAGUACAAUCACCGAGUAAUAAUAAAGCAUGUAGCAUUUUCAAACCUUUAUUUUUAGAGGGGAUUUUACAUGAUGGUUUUUUUUUAACUUGUGCGUUUUUUAAAAACUAUUUGUGCCCAAUUAUUAAUAAAUUCAAGCCCUGGGAAUUUAAAUAUUGCCAUUCUGGAUCUUCAGUGUCUAUCCCACUCCCUUCUCCAUCCUCCCUAACAGGAACUAAAAUCCAGCACCCCAAACUUUCACCACCACUUGCUCCACUAAACUUUGGAAAGCCCAAUCUUCUAACAUCCUCUGGAUACAUCUUCCCUCACUUGCCGUCUGGAAAUCAGGGAGUUAAUCCUCUGGGAUGGCUUUGCUUUACAUUGAAAGAUCUGAAGAACAUAUAAGUAAGGAGUUUGAAAAAAAAAAUCCAAGAGUGGAUAAGAAGAGGGAGUAGCUAUUUAGCACAGGAACAGGGCUGGUUAUUGUAACUUUGUUGUCGAAUCAGAGAGCAGAGAAGAACACGCUGAAAUGGAUGCGUGAGCAGAGUAUUCUAGUGGUAUUCAUUAGGCUACUAACAAUAAGUUGUUGUCUCUUUUAGCACCGUUAAUAUACGUUUAGAUCUAUAUUAGCACCUUGUCCCCAGGGGAAAAAACAAAACAAAAAAGGUUUAAAAA